rnacentral:tRNA from 1 species
AAGGAUAUAGCUGAGUGGAAGAGUGUGUGCUUAGCAUGCAUGAGGUCCUGGGUUCAAUCCCCAGUACCUCUG